ACCCGUGUUGUCGCCCCCUACGUCUUGGC
rnacentral:sRNA from 1 species